rnacentral:rRNA from 1 species
GUGAGUAACACGUAGGUGAUCUGCCCUUGAGUUGGGGAUAGCCCAUGGAAACAUGGGGUAAUACCGAAUACGCUCGCGACCCUGUGGGGAUGUGAGGAAAAGCGCUUCGGCGCUGCUCGAGGAUGAGCCUGCGGCUGAUUAGUUAGUUGGUGGGGUAACGGCCUACCAAGGCGACGAUCAGUAGCCGGCCUGAGAGGGUGAGCGGCCACACUGGGACUGAGAUACGGCCCAGACUCCUACGGGAGGCAGCAGCUAAGAAUCUUCUACAAUGGACGAAAGUCUGAUAGAGCGACGCCGCGUGGGUGAUGAAGGCCGGAAGGUUGUAAAGCCCUUUUCUAUUCGAGGAAUAAGGUGUGGAGGCAAUGCCACACUGAUGACGGUAGGGUAGGAAUAAGCCCCGGCCAAUUACGUGCCAGCAGCCGCGGUAACACGUAUGGGGCGAGCGUUGUUCGGAAUCAUUGGGCGUAAAGGGCGCGUAGGCGGAUAUGCAAGCUUGGUGUGAAAGACCGCAGCUCAACUGCGGGAGCGCGCUGAGAACUGCAUAUCUUGAGUUCAAGAGGGGAAGCUGGAAUUCCAGGUGUAGGGGUGAAAUCUGUAGAUAUCUGGAAGAACAUCAGUGGCGAAGGCGAGCUUCUGGCUUUGAACUGACGCUGAGGCGCGAAAGCGUGGGGAGCGAACAGGAUUAGAUACCCUGGUAGUCCACGCUGUAAACGAUGUGCACUAGGUGUUGGGCCGUUGAAGGCUCAGUGCCGUAGCUAACGCGUUAAGUGCACCGCCUGGGGAGUAUGCUCGCAAGAGUGAAACUCAAAGGAAUGAUCGGGGGCCCGCACAAGCGGUGGAGCAUGUGGUUUAAUUAGAUGAUACGUGAGGAACCUUACCAGGGCUUGACAUAUACAGGAAUGCGCAUGAGAGUGCGCAGCCCUUUGGGGUCUGUAUACAGGUGCUGCAUGGCAGUCGUCAGCUAGUGGCCGUGAGGUGUUGGGUUAAGUCCCGCAACGAGCGCAACCCCUGAUUGUCUGUGGCCAGCAUUUCGGAUGGGGACUCAGACAAGACUGCCGGUGACAAACCGGAGGAAGGUGGGGACGACGUCAAGUCAUCAUGGCCCUUAUGUCCUGGGGUACACACCUGCUACAAUGGCC